UAGCAUAUCAAUAAGCGGAGGAAAAGAAACCAACAGGGAUUGCCUCAGUAACGGCGAGUGAAGCGGCAACAGCUCAAAUUUGAAAUCUGGCGCAAGCCCGAGUUGUAAUUUGCAGAGGAUGUUUCGGGUGAAGCCACGGUCCAAGUCCCUUGGAACAGGACGUCAUAGAGGGUGAGAACCCCGUACCUGGCCGUCGGUGCCCCCCGCUGUGAAACUCCUUCGACGAGUCGAGUUGUUUGGGAAUGCAGCUCUAAAUUGGUGGUAAAUUCCAUCUAAAGCUAAAUACCGGCCAGAGACCGAUAGCGCACAAGUAGAGUGAUCGAAAGAUGAAAAGCACUUUGAAAAGAGAGUUAAAAAGUACGUGAAAUUGUUGAAAGGGAAGCGCUUGCGGCCAGACUUGCCCGCGGUUGCUCAGCCCGCCUUUUGGCGGGUGCACUCUUCCGCGGUCAGGCCAGCAUCGGUUUGGGCGGCCGGAUAAAGGCGCCGGGAACGUGGCCUCCCCUCGGGGAGGUGUUAUAGCCCGGCGUGCAAUGCGGCCAGCCCGGACCGAGGUUCGCGCUCUGCUAGGAUGCUGGCGUAAUGGCCGUAAGCGGCCCGUCUUGAAACACGGACCAAGGAGUCUAACAUCUAUGCGAGUGUUUGGGUGUCAAACCCGUGCGCGUAAUGAAAGUGAACGGAGGUGGGAACCGCAAGGUGCACCAUCGACCGAUCCUGAUGUCUUCGGAAGGAUUUGAGUAAGAGCAUAGCUGUUGGGACCCGAAAGAUGGUGAACUAUGCGUGAAUAGGGUGAAGCCAGAGGAAACUCUGGUGGAGGCUCGCAGCGGUUCUGACGUGCAAAUCGAUCGUCAAAUUUGCGUAUAGGGGCGAAAGACUAAUCGAACCAUUUAGUAGCUGGUUCCUGCCGAGUUUUCCCU
rnacentral:rRNA from 1 species